AUGGGCGACGCCGGUUCGAGCGUGAGGGGCGACGCCGCCUCGGGGAACGACACCGAUGAGCGGUGGUUGGUGCUCUAUGCGGCUGACUUGGCGACCGCACGACGGAUCUCCCUCGCCGAUGGGGUGAUCUGGCUCAGGAAGGACGCGCUCCAGCUCGUGCUUCUCGACAAGCAAGGCGUCACGAUUCGAUCGACAUUGGCGGGUUUGUCUCCUUCCCAUGCCACUUCGCUAGGGGACCAUGAGGAAAUCAGGCAAAAAGAACAACAAGAUACAUCAGGCUGGCUGGUCCUUGUGGUUACUACUGUGGGGCAUGCUCCUGUUGAGCAUGACACUACAGGGCAAAACAUGCAGGUGACUAAGCUUCCUGUUAUUCAGUCCCUUUUAUCCUAUGCAGAGGUAGUAAUGAAAUCCUCUCAGGUCAUGGAGCUGGAAGGUGAGGUGGAUCCUGAUAUGAAGAUCUCGAAGGACUAUGUAGUACAACUCCCUCCCUCUGACUGCGAUGAUGAUAUGAUCCUCACUCCUCCAUUAGCUCCUGAAGAUUUGCCCAGACUCAGCAAGCAUAAUGUUCGGGGGAUGCAGGAACAUGUGAUGGCCAAAGCUGAGAGGCUAGCAAUCAAGAAAAACUUGGAAGGUAACUCUCAUGAUGCUCGUAAAAAUUCUUUUGCCAUUCUGCCUGAUACUAAAUUAAUUAGUAGGGUGUCCUAUAUGGGAGUUACUAUUCCUGAUAAUGACUUUGCCUGUAUUGAUGUGCUGAGAGAGCUUGAGCAAGUUAGAAAGAAUUUAGAAGAGAAAGAGAGCAUAGUUAACUUAGAUCAGUGUUGUGAGGAUGAAAUUUUUGUGACUAAUGGGAUGGGUAAGAUGGCUCCUGUGAACCUCACUUGGCUGGACCAGGAUGAGGUCAUCCAUGAUAAGGUGGCCUCUGGUAAACCCAAAAAGAAAACACCUAAGAAACCUACUGUCAAGCUUUCUAGAACUGUGACUAGAAGCCAGAAAAAAGGUUCAGAUACAGGUGUGGGGUGGGGCUCGGACAAGUUUGGCCACAAUAAAAGGAUGAAAGAGGAACUUAGGCUGGAGUUAGCCAUGCUGGAAGAACUAGAGGAGGAUGGGCCCCUUACUCCGGAGCUGUAUAGUAGGAAAAUUAAUGUAUGCUUUGAGCUCCAUGAGAUCUUGGUCAAUGAAGAGAUAUACUGGCUUCAACAGUCACAUGAGCGAUGGUUGCUUAAAGAUGAUCCACCUGACCCACUUGAUCAUUUCGGAGUGAGAAUGCAUUAUUAUGGACUAUUUGACAAGAUUAGUGGGAAGCUUGAUUACACAGGAGAACAAGAGGCACACUUAUACAUUCCAAGGGACAAGCUUUCUUAUGCUGAACUGUGUGCUUAUGCAGAGGAUAUGUAUCAAGUAGAAAGGGGCCAUUUGAGAGGAAAUUUCACAUACAAGCUCUACUGGUUAGUUGGGAAAAGCUUUAAUGAUGGCCUUUUGUUUCUCCAUGAUGAUGCUUCAGUUCAGAGGAUGGAUAUUGGCAUCCUGAAUGUGGAACUUGCAGAUAUUUAUGUUGAGGAGAGAGAAGUACAACAAACUGAUGACAUGCCUGAUGUGCAAAUAUCUGAUGACGUCGAGAGAGAAUUAGAGCAAACUGAACAUUGUACUGAAUCUUCUGGUUUGGUGCCUGUCUGUGUUGGAGAAGCAUAUUCUAGGAAUAGAGAGAGCAAACUACCUUUGAUAAGUGUGCAGGUUGUUGAAACAGAGCAAGUGGAUGAGCUGAUCUUGUCGCAUAUGAUUGCUGCUGCUGAAGAAGAUGUUAUGAGAAGUGAAGCACUGUUUCCCGCUGACACCAAUGCAAUAGGAGCACAAGGAGAUGCAGUAGAACCACCCGAGAGGGUUAAUACACAAAGAAGAGCUCCGGUGGAAAAUGCAGAUGAGGAGUGUGAGGUUGAGAGUGACCUAGACUAUGAACCUGGCUUCGAGUGCAGCUCUGCUGAAGAAUCAGAAGCAGAGCAGGUAAGGAAACUAGCAAGAGAAAUUAGGAGGCAAAAAAGGGAUAAGAAACUAGGGAAGGGAGUUGGUCCUAUCGUGAAAGAUGACAAUGUUAUUGAAGGUGCAUCUGGUGAUGAAGAUUUGGAUGGAGGGCAUGAUCUGGAUGAAUUUGAAUCGGAUGAUGAUUGCUCAUAUGAUGAGGGUGCAUGUUAUGGUCAACUGCUUUGUGCUCUGGGUAGAGAUGCGAAUAAUCAAAUGUACCCCAUAGCAUGGGCCAUAGUGGAGAAGGAGACUUACCAGUCUUGGUUUUGGUUUCUUGCGAAGCUCAAUAAAGAUUUGAAGAUCAACAAUGAGGGUGAUGGCUGGGUGUUUAUGUCCGAUCAGCAGAAGGGGUUGAUUGGUGCUAUAGAGGAUAUCUUCUCAGUUGAGGCUGCAAAUGCGAGGAAGGGUAUGGGAAUUGGACAACCUUCACAACCACAAAUAUCUCAGCCAAGUUCCCAGCCAAGAAAUACCGUAGCCAAAGAAGGGCAUGGCAAGUCAGAAGUACGAGCAAGUCAAAAUGCCAAGAAAUCGAUGGGCAUCUACAGUCAGAUAGCAAAAUUCAUACAAACAUGUCCGGAUAAAUCUCAAUGUUACAACAUAGAAGAAAGAAACCACUACAACAGCAACUUGCUCAAGUCCAUGGCGGCCGCCGCGAAGCAUGGAGGAGGAGAGCACCACCAGGCCACCACGGCGAGGAAGCAGCAGCACGUUGGCUUCCCGAGGCUGUCCACCUCCAGCAAGGCGCUCGUCCCGCUGCCCCACCUGCUCCUCUUCGUGUACCCCAAGGAGUUCGAGUUGCAGUCGCUCAUGAAUUAUCGGAUGUGCACGGGCUGGAGCCGAGCGUGGGUGGGCGAGGAAGGCGAGAGCGGCGAGGACGAGGCGGCGGCGGCGGCGGCGCGGGGCACCGGGUCCGGGAACAACGACACAGUGCUUGGGGCGGACGUGCAGCUGCGCGAGCCGAACUCUAUCCCAUGCCAAGGCGACGCGAGACAAACAGUGGUCCACGACGGGAGCGACGGCUACGACCGCGGCGGCUCUGCGUCCCGUGAUCCCUUAUCUGCAUUAUGA
rnacentral:rRNA from 1 species